UAAAAAGUUGUGCUGAUGAGAUGGACAAAGUUAUCUCAGCGUGUUGUUUCUGUCACAGUAUGCUUGCUACUUAAGCAGGGAGGAGAAAUAUAGAAUUUUGUACAAAAAUCUACAUGUUGAACAGAGGAGCUAAAAAUGAGUCCAUAAUAUAAUCACAUUCAGCUUUUUUCAUGCCCAGGUAAUAUCAACAUACUCUGUUGCCAACAGUUCG
rnacentral:misc_RNA from 1 species